rnacentral:rRNA from 1 species
ACUCCUACGGGAGGCAGCAGUGGGGAAUAUUGCACAAUGGGGGAAACCCUGAUGCAGCGACGCCGCGUGAACGAAGAAGGUAUUCGUAUCGUAAAGUUCUGUCCUAUGGGAAGAUAAUAACAGUACCAUAGAAGAAAGCUCCGGCUAAAUACGUGCCAGCAGCCGCGGUAAU